UAAAAGUCGUAACAAGGUAACCGUAGGUGAACCUGCGGUUGGAUCAUUGCUAAUGAUACUGAGUGCAGUUGAGGUGCAAACCUCCUGCCUCACCAACACAUUGUGCACUGAAAUGUAUUUCGGGUCUCUGGCCCGGCAUUAACAAACCCCUUUUAAUUUGACUGAGAGUUUUAUUGUAAAAAGUAAACAACUUUAGACAACGGAUCUCUUGGCUCUCGCAACGAUGAAGAACGCAGCGAAAUGCGAUACGUAAUGUGAAUUGCAGAAUUCCGUGAAUCAUCGAAUCUUUGAACGCAUAUUGCACUCUGUUUCGGCAGAGUAUGCCUGUUUGAGAAUCUAUAGUAUUUAUUCCCCGGUAUUUCGGUACUGGUGAGAUCUGAGGUGUCUUUCUAACCAAAGUGCCUUUAAAGCUAUAGCCGACGGUGAACCAAAGUGUCUGACGCUUUGCAAGUCUCCCGAAAAGUAUUUGAAUGAACUUUUGUUCUUGGAAUGCCGAUUAGAGAGACGCAAGGAAUAGCUUUGCGGAUCAGCCGGUCCAUAACCUAUAGACGCAAGUCUGAACCAUGGUCUCAAAUCAGGUAGGAAUACCCGCUGAACUUAAGCAUAUCAAUAAGCGGAGGAAA
rnacentral:rRNA from 1 species